rnacentral:lncRNA from 1 species
AUCUCACCACUCAUAGAUCACCAAGCACAACAAGCAGAUUAGAUCAUACAAACAAAUAUACAUACAUCAAAUAUACAAUUAUAUACUCAUAAAAAAUUAGGUUAAGCCCACUGAGGAUUACUCUCUAGCACUAUAGCGGUAAAUUCAUGACCGUCAAUAAAAUCAGAGUCUCCACCAUGCUUUUAUUGUUUCCAAGGAAAAAGGGAAAAGUAAGAACA